rnacentral:rRNA from 1 species
UACGUAGGGGGCUAGCGUUGUCCGGAAUCAUUGGGCGUAAAGCGCGUGUAGGCGGUCCGGUAAGUCCGCUGUGAAAGUCGGGGGCUCAACCCUCGAAUGCCGGUGGAUACUGUCGGGCUAGAAUGCGGAAGAGGCGAGUGGAAUUCCUGGUGUAGCGGUGAAAUGCGCAGAUAUCAGGAGGAACACCAAUUGCGAAGGCAGCUCGCUGGGACGUAACUGACGCUGAGGUGCGAAAGCGUGGGGAGCAAACAGG